CCUACGGGUGGCUGCAGUGAGGAAUAUUGGUCAAUGGGCGCAAGCCUGAACCAGCAAUGCCGCGUGUAGGACGAAGGGGCUUUGCCCUGUAAACUACUGUCAGAUGGGUUGAAAAGGAAGUUAGACUUCUGGAGACGGUACCAUCAGAGGAAGGGACGGCUAACUACGUGCCAGCAGCCGCGGUAAUACGUAGGUCCCGAGCGUUGUCCGGAUUUACUGGGUAUAAAGGGUGCGUAGGCGGUUUUGUGCGUCAGAGGUGAAAGGUCAGUGCUUAA
rnacentral:rRNA from 1 species